GACAGUAGCAAUAUUAUCCUGCAACUUAUAACUGGUAGCCCCUGAAGCUAAGCAGGUGUGAGCUUGGGCAGUAUGUGGAUGGGAGACCUCCUGGGAAAAACUAAGGUUGUUGCUGAAA
rnacentral:rRNA from 1 species